AUUGAACGCUGGCGGCAUGCCUUACACAUGCAAGUCGAACGGCAGCACGGGAGCAAUCCUGGUGGCGAGUGGCGAACGGGUGAGUAAUAUAUCGGAACGUGCCCAGUCGUGGGGAUAACGUAGCGAAAGCUACGCUAAUACCGCGUACGAUCUAUGGAUGAAAGCGGGGGAUCGCAAGACCUCGCGCGAUUGGAGCGGCCGAUAUCAGAUUAGGUAGUUGGUGAGGUAAAGGCUCACCAAGCCGACGAUCUGUAGCUGGUCUGAGAGGACGACCAGCCACACUGGGACUGAGACACGGCCCAGACUCCUACGGAGGCAGCAGUGGGGAAUUUUGGACAAUGGGCGCAAGCCUGAUCCAGCAAUGCCGCGUGCAGGAUGAAGGCC
rnacentral:rRNA from 1 species